GUGAGGAAUUUUCCGCAAUGGGCGAAAGCCUGACGGAGCAAUGCCGCGUGAAGGAUGAAGGCCUAUGGGUUGUAAACUUCUUUUCUCAGAAAAGAAUUAUGACGGUAUCUGAGGAAUAAGCAUCGGCUAACUCUGUGCCAGCAGCCGCGGUAAGACAGAGGAUGCAAGCGUUAUCCGGAAUGAUUGGGCGUAAAGCGUCUGUAGGUUGUUUAAAAAGUAUUCUGUCAAAGAUUAGGGCUUAACCCUAGAUAGGCAGAAUAAACUUUUAAGCUAGAGUUUGGUAGGGGCAGAGGGAAUUCCCGGUGGAGCGGUGAAAUGCGUAGAUAUCGGGAGGAACACCAAAGGCGAAGGCACUCUGCUGGGCCAAUACUAACACUGAGGGACGAAAGCGAGGGGAGCAAAUGGGAUUAGAUACCCCGGUAGUCC
rnacentral:rRNA from 1 species